rnacentral:rRNA from 1 species
UUAAACGAAUAAGAGCGUACGGCGGAUGUCUUGGCAUAUAGAGCAGAAGAAGGACGCAGCAAACGGCGAAACGCCUCGGGGAGUCGUAAACAGACUAAGAUCCGGGGAUAUCCGAAUGGGGAAACCCGAUACUCGUAAUGGAGUAUCAUCCAUAAGUGAAUACAUAGCUUAUGAGAAGGAAACCUAGGGAAUUGAAACAUCUUAGUACCUAGAGGAGAAGAAAACAAAAGUGAUUCCGAAAGUAGUGGCGAGCGAAAUCGGAGAAGCCCAAACCAUUCUAAGGAGUGGGGUUGUAGGGGCUACAGCAAAGCGUAUUUACAAGUAAUAGUCGAAUGAGAUUGAAAGCUCAGUCAAAGAAGGUGCAAACCCUGUAGACGAAAUUAUGAGUAAGCGUGAGUAGCUACCUGAGUACAACGAGGCACGUGGAACCUUGUUGGAAUCUACCUGGACCAUCAGGUAAGGCUAAAUACUCCUAUAUGACCGAUAGUGAACCAGUACCAUGAGGGAAAGAUGAAAAGAACCGCGGGAGCGGAGUGAAAUAGAACCUGAAACCGUAUGCUUACAAGAAGUCAGAGCACAUUAACGUGUGAUGGCGUGCCUUUUGUAGAAUGAACCGGCGAGUUAUCCUUACAUGCAAGGUUAAGCAGACAAUGCGGAGCCGAAGCGAAAGCGAAUCUUAAUAGGGUGAAUAGUAUGUAGGGAUAGACCCGAAGCCGUUGUGAUCUAAUCAUGAGCAGGUUGAAGGUUGGGUGAUUCCAACUGGAGGACCGAACCGACCAUCGUUGAAAAGCUGGCGGAUGACUUGUGAUUAGCGGAGAAAUUCCAAUCGAACACGGCGAUAGCUGGUUCUCCCCGAAAUAGCUUUAGGGCUAGCGUUGAAUGAAUCACCAUGGAGGUAGAGCACUGAAUUCUCGCGGGCGGCGUCUAGCCGUACCAAUAGAAAUCAAACUCCGAAUGCCAUGAAUGAAUGUUCAGCAGUCAGACUAUGGGUGAUAAGGUCCGUAGUCAAAAGGGAAACAGCCCAGACCAUCAGAUAAGGUCCCAAAAUUUACACUAAGUGGAAAAGGAAGUGGAGUCGCGCAAACAGCUAGGAGGUUGGCUCAGAAGCAGCCAUCCUUCAAAGAGUGCGUAACAGCUCACUAGUCGAGUAACUCUGCGCCGAAAAUUUACCGGGGCUAAGUGUAAUACCGAAUCUAUGGCUUUGUACGUAUGUACAAGGGGUAGGGGAGCGUUCCAAACAGCAUUGAAGGUAUACCGUAAGGAGUGCUGGAGCGUUUGGAAGUGAGAAUGCCGGUGUGAGUAGCGAGAUGCAGGUGAGAAUCCUGCACACCGAUAGACCAAGGUUUCCAGGGCAAGGCUCGUCCUCCCUGGGUAAGUCGGGACCUAAGGCCAGGCCGAAAGGCGUAGUCGAUGGACAACAGGUUGAUAUUCCUGUACCCGCGUAUCAAAUGAUGGAGUGACAGAAAAGGUUAACUUUACCUCUUAAUGGAUUGAGGGACAAGCGAAGUAGCAGGCACAUAGGCAAAUCCGUGUGCGAAAUGCAAAGCGUGACGUGGAGCGAACGAGCGAUCAAGUAGCGAAGUAAGUGAUACCAGUUCUCAAGAAAAGCUUCUAGUGUUAAUUGAUAAGCGGCCCGUACCAAAACCGACACAGGUGGUCAAGGCGAGUAGCCUGAGGUGAGCGAGAGAACUGUUGCCAAGGAACUCGGCAAAUUGACCCCGUACGUUAGCAAUAAGGGGUGCUCAAACGAGCCACAGUAAAUAGGCCCAAGCAACUGUUUAACUAAAACAUAGCUCUCUGCUAAGUCGCAAGACGAAGUAUAGGGGGUGACACCUGCCCGGUGCUGGAAGGUCAAAAGGAUUAGUUAGUCUAUAAGGCGAAGCUAUGAAUUGAAGCCCCAGUGAACGGCGGCCGUAACUAUAACGGUCCUAAGGUAGCGAAAUUCCUUGUCAGGUAAGUUCUGACCCGCACGA